rnacentral:rRNA from 1 species
AAAAAGCGGAGGAAAAGAAACUAACAAGGAUUCCCCUAGUAACUGCGAGUGAAGCGGGAAAAGCUCAAAUUUAAAAUCUGGCGGUCUCUGGCCGUCCGAGUUGUAAUCUAGAGAAGUAAUGCCCGUGCUGGACCGUGUAUAAGUCUCCUGGGAUGGGGCGUCGUAGAGGGUGAGAAUCCCGUCUUUGACACGGACUACCAGUGCAUUGUGGUAUGCUCUCAAAGAGUCGAGUUGUUUGGGAAUGCAGCUCAAAAUGGGUGGUAAAUUCCAUCUAAAGCUAAAUAUUGGCGAGAGACCGAUAGCGAACAAGUACCGUGAGGGAAAGAUGAAAAGAACUUUGGAAAGAGAGUUAAACAGUACGUGAAAUUGCUGAAAGGGAAACGCUUGAAGUCAGUCGCGUUGGCCGGGGAUCAGCCUUGCUUUUGCAUGGUGUACUUUCUGGUUGACGGGUCAGCAUCAAUUUUGACCGCUGGAAAAAGACCUGGGGAAUGUGGCAGCUUCGGCUGUGUUAUAGCCCCUAGUCGCAUACAGUGGUUGGGAUUGAGGAACUCAGCACGCCGCAAGGCCGGGUUUCGACCACGUUCGUGCUUAGGAUGCUGGCAUAAUGGCUUUAAGCGACCCGUCUUGAAACACGGACCA